rnacentral:rRNA from 1 species
UGGGGAAUAUUGCACAAUGGGGGAAACCCUGAUGCAGCGACGCCGCGUGAGCGAAGAAGGCUUUCGAGUCGUAAAGCUCUGUCCUAUGAGAAGAUAAUGACGGUAUCAUAGGAGGAAGCCCUGGCUAAAUACGUGCCAGCAGCCGCGGUAAUACGUAUGGGGCGAGCGUUGUCCGGAAUUAUUGGGCGUAAAGGGUACGUAGGCGGGUAAGCAAGUUAGAAGUGAAAUCCUGUAGCUCAACUACAGUAAGCUUUUAAAACUGCUCAUCUUGAGAUAUGGAAGGGAAAGUGGAAUUCCUAGUGUAGCGGUGAAAUGCGCAGAUAUUAGGAGGAAUACCGGUGGCGAAGGCGACUUUCUGGCCAUAAUCUGACGCUGAGGUACGAAAGCGUGGGUAGCAAACAGG